rnacentral:rRNA from 1 species
UACGGGGGGGGCAAGCGUUGUUCGGAAUUACUGGGCGUAAAGGGCUCGUAGGCGGCCAACUAAGUCAGACGUGAAAUCCCUCGGCUUAACCGGGGAACUGCGUCUGAUACUGGGUGGCUUGAAUCCGGGAGAGGGAUGCGGAAUUCCAGGUGUAGCGGUGAAAUGCGUAGAUAUCUGGAGGAACACCGGUGGCGAAGGCGGCUUCCUGGACCGGUUCUGACGCUCAAAAGCGAAAGCUAGGGUAGCAAACAGG